GAUGAACGCUGGCGGCGUGCCUAAUACAUGCAAGUCGAGCGGUAACACUUCGGGUGACGAGCGGCGGACGGCUGAGUAACGCGUGGGAAUGUACCCCAAAGUGAGGGAUAACUGCUCGAAAGAGUAGCUAAUACCGCAUGUGGUCUACGGAUUAAAGCUUCGGCGCUUUGGGAACAGCCUGCGUAAGAUUAGCUUGUUGAUGAGGUAACGGCUCACCAAGGCGACGAUCUUUAGCUGGUCUGAGAGGAUGAUCAGCCAGACUGGGACUGAGAACGGCCCAGACCCCUACGGGAGGCAGCAGUAGGGAAUUUUCCACAAUGGACGAAAGUCUGAUGGAGCAACGCCGCGUGCAGGAUGAAUGCCUUCGGGUUGUAAACUGCUUUUAUAUGUGACGAUUAUGACGGUAGCAUAUGAAUAAGGAUCGGCUAAUUCCGUGCCAGCCGCCGCGGUAA
rnacentral:rRNA from 1 species